UUCCAGUUGCAGAGCCAGAAAAAGGGCCUUCUAUGGAGCUAGAGGCAACCCCAGCUCUGCAUCAACCAUCACCUCCAGUGUCAGAGCCAGCCUCCCCUCCAUCAGCUGUUCCAGAACUGGAACACGUGCUCCCAUCUUCUCCAUGUGUGCCGGGUGCUGAGCUGCAGUCAGCUGGACCAUAAGCUUUCCCAGGAAUUUUCACUCCAGCUCUGACAAUAGACAUAGAGCCCACUGUGGCUCCAGAUUGUUCCUGCUGUGUCAACCCAAAGAACCAACUGAGUGAGGAGAAGCCCGACCUCCUGGUCUUCCCUCCCAGGAUGGUGGCAGAGCAACUGACAUACAUGGAUGCGGAGCUGUUCAAGAAGCUGCUGCCCCAUCAGUGCCUGGGCUCCGUCUGGUCCAAGCGCAAUAAGCCUGGCAGUGAGCACCUGGCACCCACAGUCCGGGCCACUGUCGCCCAGUUCAACGGUGUGGCCAAGUGUGUCAUCACCACCUGCCUUGGCAACCCAAGCAUGACAGCCUAGGACAGGGCCAUGGUGGUGGAGCACUGGAACAAGGUGGCCAAGGCCUGUCAAACCCUGAGGAACUACUGUCCUUACAUGCCAUUGUCUUGGCUCUGCAGAGUGUCUCAAUUCACCGCCUAGAGAACACGUGGGGGAAGGUUACCAGG